rnacentral:rRNA from 1 species
CCUACGGGUGGCAGCAGUGGGGAAUAUUGCACAAUGGGGGAAACCCUGAUGCUGCGACGCCGCGUGAGUGAAGAAGUAUAUUGGUACGUAAAGCUCUAUUAGUAGGGAAGAAAAUGACGGUACCUGACUAAGAAGCCCCGGCUAACUACGUGCCAGCAGCCGCGGUAAUACGUAGGGGGCAAGCGUUAUCCGGAUUUACUGGGUGUAAAGGGAGCGUAGGCGGCAGCGCAAGUCUGAAGUGAAAUCCCAUGGCUUAACCAUGGAACUGCUUAGGAAACUGUGCAGCUGGAGUGCAGGAGGGGUAAGCGGAAUUCCUAGUGUAGCAGUGAAAUGCGUAGAUAUUAGGAGGAACACCAGUGGCGAAGGCGGGUUACUGGACUGUAACUGACGUUGAGGCUCGAAGGCGUGGGGAGCAAACGGGAUUAGAUACCCCUGUAGUC